rnacentral:rRNA from 1 species
UAGGGAAUCUUCCGCAAUGGACGCAAGUCUGACGGAGCAACGCCGCGUGAGUGAAGAAGGAUUUCGGUUCGUAAAACUCUGUUGUUAGAGAAGAACAGCGCAUAGAGUAACUGUUAUGCGUGUGACGGUAUCUAACCAGAAAGCCACGGCUAACUACGUGCCAGCAGCCGCGGUAAUACGUAGGUGGCAAGCGUUGUCCGGAUUUAUUGGGCGUAAAGCGAGCGCAGGCGGUCAAUUAAGUCUGAUGUGAAAGCCCCCGGCUCAACCGGGGAGGGUCAUUGGAAACUGGUUGACUUGAGUGCAGAAGAGGAGAGUGGAAUUCCAUGUGUAGCGGUGAAAUGCGUAGAUAUAUGGAGGAACACCAGUGGCGAAGGCGACUCUCUGGUCUGUAACUGACGCUGAGGCUCGAAAGCGUGGGUAGCAAACAGA